rnacentral:piRNA from 1 species
UGGACAGAUAGCCACACAGAGAGGCUCUGA